rnacentral:tRNA from 1 species
UCCCUGGUGGUCCAGUGGUAAGGACUCAGCGCUUUCACUGCUGGGGCCUGAGUUCAGUCCCUGGUCAGGGAA